GGAGAUGUAGCUCAGUUGGUAGAGUGCUUGUGUGGUGUGCAUGAAGCCCUGGGUUCAAUCCUCAGCACCA
rnacentral:tRNA from 1 species